GAUGAACGCUGGCGGCGUGCCUAAUACAUGCAAGUCGAGCGAACGGACGAGAAGCUUGCUUCUCUGACGUUAGCGGCGGACGGGUGAGUAACACGUGGAUAACCUACCUAUAAGACUGGGAUAACUUCGGGAAACCGGAGCUAAUACCGGAUAAUAUUUUGAACCGCAUGGUUCAAUAGUGAAAGACGGUCUUGCUGUCACUUAUAGAUGGAUCCGCGCUGCAUUAGCUAGUUGGUAAGGUAACGGCUUACCAAGGCAACGAUGCAUAGCCGACCUGAGAGGGUGAUCGGCCACACUGGAACUGAGACACGGUCCAGACUCCUACGGGAGGCAGCAGUAGGGAAUCUUCCGCAAUGGGCGAAAGCCUGACGGAGCAACGCCGCGUGAGUGAUGAAGGUCUUCGGAUCGUAAAACUCUGUUAUUAGGGAAGAACAAAUGUGUAAGUAACUAUGCACAUCUUGACGGUACCUAAUCAGAAAGCCACGGCUAACUACGUG
rnacentral:rRNA from 1 species